AAGAAGUAAUAAAGGAAGCCGCUAACUAACUAAAAACAUUAAAUUGUUAACUUCUUG
rnacentral:tRNA from 2 species